rnacentral:rRNA from 1 species
UACAGAGGGUGCGAGCGUUGUCCGGAAUCACUGGGCGUAAAGGGCGCGUAGGUGGCCCGACAAGUCGCUGGUGAAAGCUCGACGCUCAACGUCGAGUCGGCCAGUGAUACUGUUGGGCUGGAGCACUGUAGAGGCUCAUGGAAUUCCGGGUGUAGCGGUGGAAUGCGUAGAGAUCCGGAAGAACACCGGUGGCGAAGGCGGUGAGCUGGGCAGUUGCUGACACUGAGGCGCGACAGCGUGGGGAGCAAACAGGG